UCAAAAUAUAAAGGUGCUUUAAUGUGGGG
rnacentral:piRNA from 1 species